rnacentral:tRNA from 1 species
GUCUGGCUGGCUCGGUCGGUAGAGCACAUGACUCUUGAUCUUGGGGUUAUGAGCUCGAGCCCCAUGUAGGGCA